rnacentral:rRNA from 1 species
GACGAACGCUGGCGGCGUGCUUAACACAUGCAAGUCGAACGGAAAGGCCCUGCUUUUGUGGGGUGCUCGAGUGGCGAACGGGUGAGUAACACGUGAGUAACCUGCCCUUGACUUUGGGAUAACUUCAGGAAACUGGGGCUAAUACCGGAUAGGAGCUCCUGCUGCAUGGUGGGGGUUGGAAAGUUUCGGCGGUUGGGGAUGGACUCGCGGCUUAUCAGCUUGUUGGUGGGGUAGUGGCUUACCAAGGCUUUGACGGGUAGCCGGCCUGAGAGGGUGACCGGCCACAAUGGGACUGAGAUACGGACCAGACUCCUACGGGAGGCAGCAGUGGGGAAUAUUGCACAAUGGGCGGAAGCCUGAUGCAGCAACGCCGCGGGCGGGAUGACGGCCUUCGGGUUGUAAACCGCUUUCGCCUGUGACGAAGCGUGAGUGACGGUAAUGGGUAAAGAAGCACCGGCUAACUACGUG